GCCCACCCUGUUGACAUGCCUCUCAUUCUCUUUGAACAGGAAACGUGUUACUCCUAACAACCUACCAGCCUACACCUCCCAAAACCAAGUGCGUGAGUGCUUGUACUUCCCCAUGACUGAGCACCAUUGUGAAGGGAUGCCAGAGAGCAUAGCUGAGCUCCAGACAACAGGAGAAGAGCAUCUGUCAGCCUCUGCUGCCUAGCUGCGUUCUCCCAUUUGCCCAUAGGAGCCUGCUUCAGUCAAAGCACCAGGACUGUGGUGGAUGGAAAGGAAAAUUGAAUUCCAGAAUGAGGGAUCUCCACUGAUUGUACCUCUUCCCAGGCUCUGGACAUUCCAACCCAGAUACCUGCAACCAAGAAACUUCACAGCUGAUUUUGACAAUUCAGCAGAGUGAUGGACUCUCUCAGGAAUGUGCCAUCUAAGAUCUGAAGAGCAAGUGGUGAAAAACUCUUAAUAAGUGUUGAACUGGUUAACUUCUGUAAGUCCUUUCUAUCCAUUUGCUUUACAACACUGAUACAUGUUUGUAAGUAGAUGUUACCUGGCAUCCUCCCUGCACCAUUCACUGCAGAGUAAUAACAGUAAGGAUAUGAAACUUUCUUCUACAUUCCUAUUUAAAUACACUAUAAUAAGCUACAAGGGCAAACAUAAAUGUUUAUUGCUGCAGUCUGCAGCUCAUUCAUCCAAAUUUCAUUAUUUUUAUUAUCUUUUUUGUAGUAGUUGGGUGUAAUGGUUGUAAAAGCAGCACAUUUUAAGGCAAGGGAAUUGUCUAUAAAUUCUCAUUUACUUCUACCUAUUUUAUUUCUGAUGAAAGGUCCUGACUGACAAAAUGGCGUGUAAUCUGUUUGGUCUAGAUGAAUGCUGCUUUACAGCUAAUAUUUUGAGAGGUUUUUGUGAACUCUGAGUCAAUAUGAAUGUCAGCAUGGGAAAUAUAUUUAAUCUUUCUGCACAGCUGUUUUUAUCAACCUUCUCAAGCAUUAAUAAACAGCUGAUAAAGCUCUCAGUGGAA